AAAAAUUUCGGAUCGUCAGUCUACCGAGCAAAAUCACCCGCUCGGUGGAAGUGGAAGAUCUUUCCUUUCGU
rnacentral:pre_miRNA from 1 species